AGUGAACGCUGGCGGUAGGCCUAACACAUGCAAGUCGAACGGCCGCACAGUAAGCGCUUGCUCUUACGGGUGGCGAGUGGCGGACGGGUGAGGAAUACAUCGGCAUCUACUUUUUCGUGGGGGAUAACGUAGGGAAACUUACGCUAAUACCGCAUACGACCUACGGGUGAAAGCAGGGGAUCUUCGGACCUUGCGCGAUUGAAUGAGCCGAUGUCGGAUUAGCUAGUUGGCGGGGUAAAGGCCUACCAAGGCGACGAUCCGUAGCUGGUCUGAGAGGAUGAUCAGCCACACUGGAACUGAGACACGGUCCAGACUCCUACGGGAGGCAGCAGUGGGGAAUAUUGGACAAUGGGCGCAAGCCUAAUCCAGCCAUACCGCGUGGGUGAAGAAGGCCUUCGGGUUGUAAAGCCCUUUUAUUGGGAAAGAAAAGCAGCAGAUUAAAACCCCGCUGUUCUGACGGUACCCAAUGAAUAAGCACCGGCUAACUUCGUG
rnacentral:rRNA from 1 species